GCCUGGGUGGCUCAGUCGGUUGAGCAUCCGACUUCAGCUCAGGUCAUGAUCUCACGGUUUGUGGGUUCGAGCCCCACCUCGGGCU
rnacentral:tRNA from 1 species